ACGGGUGAGUAGCGCGUGGGAACGUGCCCUCUGGUUCGGAAUAACUCAGGGAAACUUGAGCUAAUACCGGAUACCCCCUUUUGGGGAAAGGCUUGCUGCCGGAGGAUCGGCCCGCGUCUGAUUAGCUAGUUGGUGAGGUAACGGCUCACCAAGGCGACGAUCAGUAGCUGGUCUGAGAGGAUGAUCAGCCACACUGGGACUGAGACACGGCCCAGACUCCUACGGGAGGCAGCAGUGGGGAAUAUUGGACAAUGGGCGCAAGCCUGAUCCAGCCAUGCCGCGUGAGUGAUGAAGGCCUUAGGGUUGUAAAGCUCUUUUAUCCGGGACGAUGAUGACGGUACCGGAGGAAUAAGCCCCGGCUAACUUCGUGCCAGCAGCCGCGGUAAUACGAAGGGGGCUAGCGUUGCUCGGAAUCACUGGGCGUAAAGGGCGCGUAGGCGGCGUUUUAAGUCGGGGGUGAAAGCCUGUGGCUCAACCACAGAAUGGCCUUCGAUACUGGGACGCUUGAGUAUGGUAGAGGUUGGUGGAACUGCUAGUGUAGAGGUGAAAUUCGUAGA
rnacentral:rRNA from 1 species